rnacentral:tRNA from 2 species
GGAAGUGCGACCUGAACUGGUGUCAGGCUCGGUCUUCAAAGCCGAUGGUGCACCGCGAGAGCGUCGGUACGGCGGGUUCGAUUCCCGUGCACUUCCGCCA